GCAUGGCUGCAUUGGCCCAGGCCUUCUGACUGGGGCUGUGGAGGGCUCUCACUUCGUUAGGGCUCAUUAUAAAUGCCGUCCUCCAAGAUAAAUGAGCAGCGUAACGUGGAGGUAUGCUCUCUGGCGAAACUGAAAAGUUAUAGAUGUUAGCUUUGUAGCUUUAUGAAAAUGCUUUCUUAUGGAACCUGAAAUGACCAAGAUUAGAUUGAAUUAAUAUGUACAGGGUUUUUUACAAAGAUUUCUAGCACAAGCAUUUCAUAAAAAUGCAAAUCUCAGCUGAGAUUUAUAAUUAGUAGAGAUAUGUGUGGAGCUAACAAAUUAUCGGCGGAGCCAAGCUCUCUGCAGAUAAUUGCAUGGGGCUGUGCUCGGCAUCUGAUGGCAGCCUCCGGACCCCGCUGCCAGCCGCCAGCUCGGAGGUGCUCCGGGCACCACGGCACUCGUGGGCAGCAACUCCAACACCUCCAUGUGCUCCUUUUCCUCCUCAACCACAGAGGUUUCCAUGGGUGCAGGAUCAGGAUCCUGCUGUGCUGGGAGCUGCCAGCUGAUCCGAGAGGAGAAGAGCUGCUGUGGUCCAAGAAGUGGUGGCCCCAUCCUCUCUGUGACCGUUCAGAAGAUGUGAAUUUGUACAUACUGCUUUUUCUACCUUCUUCUGUCUUCCUGAGUCUUCCCAAGUCCUUGCUACUACGUGAGAACCUGCAAAGGAAAGUUGCUACAAGUGCUGUGAAGUUUUUGGGGGAGAGGUGAAGCGGGGAAGGGCAGGAAGCCUUUGCAGCAGCGCUGCUUCUCUUCCAGGCAGCCCUCGGCACGUCAAGCUGCGAGGUUUCAUUUCUCUUCCAUUCUGCCUCUGCCAUUUCUUCUGGAGGCCAGAAGGAGACCCUGGUGGAAUAUUAACUCCGUGGUCGCUGAGCGAUUAUUUAUUACAAUCAUUGCUUUCGGGUCCUUUGACUCGUCUCUGUUAAUUAGACUGCAGGGUGUAAUAAACGUGAUGGAAAGCACCCAGGCAGGGUUUGGCAGGGGCUGGGGCUGCUGCAGCUCGCGGAGGAGCCGCUGCGCUGGGCGCAGCCACCACGGCCAGCCUGAGCUCUGACCUCACCCGUCCAGCAGAAGGGCAGAGAGGCUUACGGAGCUGAAAUCGUAUUAAAACAGAGACCUGGCACUGAGCUGUGUGACCCUGCUGGAAAUGAGUUCAGGAACUGUGGGCCAGGUGCUGCCAGCGGCCACCCUGCGCGCUUCCAGCCCCGCUCGGGGGCUGUGUGGCAGCGAUGUCCCCAAUCCCACAGGGCGAAAAUGGGACACCAGCACAGGACGUCUGCAGGGAGCUCUUUGUAAAAGCAACCUGUCUGUUUUAAGUGUCAGGGCUCCUCUCUUCCAGUCUCUGCUUUGUGUUUUCUCAAUGCUUGGGCUCAGGCCAUUGAAGCCUGGCACGGAGCUGCUCACGGAGCUGCUGUGCCCCGCGUUACCCAUCCUGGCUCUCAUCCAGGGGCUGGUCCCCAGGAGAUGAACGGUGCCACGUGCAUCCCAGGGCAUCACGGGGCGGGUGGCAGCUGGGCCUGAGGCAGAGCUAACCUGCCCCUGCGCUGCACUGUAGAAAUAUUAAGAAAGGCAGGAGAAAUGAGCUCAUUUAAAUGGCAUUUGAAUCCCCACCAGGGACUCCUGCAGAAGCAGACUGAACAGUACGGCUGAGCGCCGUGUUGAGAGCUGCGAGCGGCUCUACUCCAACAGUUAUUUAAAAUUUAAACCCACAAAUUAAACAGGUUCUUUUUUUAUGAUGAUAGAGUCCACGUCCCCAGUCCCCAAACACCUCUCCCUCCACACGACAGUGCCGCAGGGGCUGAUGCCGGCUUAAAUACCACUGUUCACCAGCAGCGUGCGGGGUCCAGCGUGCUCGCUGCCUCCCCAUGCAGCCCUGCUGGUCGUGUGUCCCUGCCUCUGGCCAGGUGCUUCCAGGCUGGGUUUUGCUGGGGCUGAGAGGGGCGAAGCUGCCACCUUCCCCUCACCUCCCCCAGGCCCUGACGGUGCCCUGGAGAGCCGAGGGGAGCUGCAGUCUCGGCUGACUCCUGCUUUGAGUUUUAUCUUCAGUUUUUAAAUUAUGACUGAAAGCAAAGCCAUGGUGAGAGGAGAAGAAGUCCUGACAUUUGUGUCACAAAAGGAAACCUUUCUUUCUCUUUAUUCUUUAAAGGCUGGCUUUUCUCCCGCAGCUACCUGUUGCUCUGAAUGGAUUCAGUGAAAGGAAGCUUUGGGAUGGCAACGCUGAAAUUCUGAGCCCUGCAAGAAGAGCAGACGUAAUGGUAGAGAAAUGUACGUGUCUUACAAAACAGAAAAAUUAGGCAUCAUUAAGAGCAGCAAGCUUCCCUCUUUGCAAUGUAAUGAUGCAAAGCAGUCUCCAUAGCACAGCUUUCCCUCCAACACAGCAGGGCGAAGCAGAGUCCUGCUCUGGCUCUGAAGUCAUGGGGGGGAGGAGGAAUUUUUCCAUUGAUACUUUUUCCUGCAGAAGAGAGGGGCUUUAAUUAAAUAAACGGGCUGAUGAAA